rnacentral:rRNA from 1 species
UACGUAGGUGGCAAGCGUUGUCCGGAUUUACUGGGCGUAAAGCGCGCGCAGGCGGUCGAUCAAGUCGCGUGUGAAAGCCCCCGGCUCAACUGGGGAGGGUCACGCGAUACUGAUCGACUCGAAGGCAGGAGAGGGUAGUGGAAUUCCCGGUGUAGUGGUGAAAUGCGUAGAUAUCGGGAGGAACACCACUGGCGAAGGCGACUACCUGGCCUGUUCUUGACGCUGAGGCGCGAAAGCUAGGGGAGCAAACGGG